AAGUCGAACGGGCAUAGCAAUAUGUCAGUGGCAAACGGGUGAGGAAUAUAUAGGAACCUCCCUAGCAGUAAGGAAUAACCUUGGGAAACCAAGGCUAAUGCCAUAUAUUACCGCCAAGAGAAAUUUUGGCGGGAAAGAUUUAUCGCUGUUAGAUGGGCCUGUAUCAGAUUAGCUAGUUGGUGGGGUAAUGGCCUACCAAGGCAAUGAUCUGUAGCUGGUUUGAGAGGAUGAUCAGCCACACUGGAACUGCGACACGGUCCAGACUCC
rnacentral:rRNA from 1 species